GACGAACGCUGGCGGCGUGCCUAAUACAUGCAAGUCGAACGAGAGCGACCGGCGCUUGCACUGGUUAAUCUAGUGGCGAACGGGUGAGUAACACGUGGGUAACCUGCCUAUCAGAGGGGGAUAACAUCCGGAAACGGAUGCUAAAACCGCAUAGGUCUUCGAGCUGCAUGGCUUGAAGAGGAAAAGAGGCGCAAGCUUCUGCUGAUGGAUGGACCCGCGGUGCAUUAGCUAGUUGGUGAGGUAACGGCUCACCAAGGCCGUGAUGCAUAGCCGACCUGAGAGGGUGAUCGGCCACAUUGGGACUGAGACACGGCCCAAACUCCUACGGGAGGCAGCAGUAGGGAAUCUUCCGCAAUGGACGCAAGUCUGACGGAGCAACGCCGCGUGAGUGAAGAAGGUUUUCGGAUCGUAAAACUCUGUUGUUAGAGAAGAACAAGUGCUAGAGUAACUGUUAG
rnacentral:rRNA from 1 species